GAUGCAUCCCCUGAGCACUCACGCUGGGAGGUGGCCGCAGGCCUGCAGAGUGCAGAUGACUAGCCUGGACCCAGGACAACCCGGCCCCACAGGAAGCAGAUGACUGGCCUGGACAACCCGGCCCCACAGGAGACAGACUGCUGGCCAGGACCGCCAGCUGGUCCAACCCUGGCAGAGCUUCUGCUGGCAACUGAGGCCCCACCAAUCACCUUACCUCACUAGACCAGCAGGUACCCUUGGAGGGGGAGCGUGGAAGUGACCCAGGGGUAGUACACCCCUGUUUGGCUGCAACGCUGGAAGAGGGAGAGGAAGUUCUGGUUGUUCCAGGCAGAAGAAGUGCUGAUUGUGCCGGGGGAGGACAGUGGAGAAAAAGUGUGACAGGGGCGUGGUGUAUCUGGAGCUCCAGACAAGAGUGAACAAAUCCUCAUGUAGCAAAGCAGCCAAGAACUAGGCCAAAGUCCAGGAGGGACAGAGCUGCCAGCUGUGUACAUCCAAGGACAGGAGCCAGGAGGAGCACCAUGCCAGGCAGGAAACAUCUGAGAGGGACAAACUGGACCCAGACUCAAUAUCACUGUUGCCCAGAACUGCAUGGGACCAUGAAUACUGGGGCUUGUGAAUUGCAUUGGGAUAAGGAGGUAGGCUGUAGCUAAUUAAGUGGAGAGAUUGUUGCUCUGUGUAGCUUUGCAGAGAGUAGCAGAAGAGGGCACCAGAGGGGUUUGUUGGGGAAAGUUUACUGGUGCCGAAGAUGACCAGGAGCACCCAAGACUCCCUGCUGGACUGGAACUCUAGCUCAGGAUUCCUGAGCUUUAAGUCUAGACACAUUGCUCAACAUCUUUGCUUUUGUAUUGUGAUACCACUAGGCCUGUAAGUCCAUGUCAUGUAGGUGACCCUAUUUUAUCACUCCCCCAAUCUUCUUCUCCUCCUGUUUUUUCUCCAUUCAUCCCUCUGUAAAUAAAUAUUUCCC